rnacentral:rRNA from 1 species
GGGAUUGCCUCAGUAACGGCGAGUGAAGCGGCAAAAGCUCAAAUUUGAAAUCUGGCUCUUUCAGGGUCCGAGUUGUAAUUUGUAGAAGAUGUUUCGGGUGUGGCUCCGGUUUAAGUUCUUUGGAAUAUUACAUCAUAGAGGGUGAGAAUCCCGUAUGUGACCGGCAGCCUCCGCCCAUGUGAAACUCUUUCGACGAGUCGAGUUGUUUGGGAAUGCAGCUCAAAAUGGGAGGUAUAUUUCUUCUAAAGCUAAAUAUAGGCCAGAGACCGAUAGCGCACAAGUAGAGUGAUCGAAAGAUGAAAAGCACUUUGGAAAGAGAGUUAAACAGUACGUGAAAUUGUUGAAAGGGAAGCGCUUGCAACCAGACUUGCACGCAGUUGAUCAUCCGGUGUUCUCACCGGGGCACUCUGCUGCGUUCAGGCCAGCAUCGGUUUCGGUGGUUGGAUAAAGGCCUUGGGAAUGUGGCUUCCUUCGGGGAGUGUUAUAGCCCUCGGUGCAAUGCAGCCUACCGGGACCGAGGACCGCGCUUCGGCUAGGAUGCUGGCGUAAUGGUUGUAAGCGACCCGUCUUGAAACACGGACCAAGGAGUCUAACAUCUAUGCGAGUGUUUGGGUGUUAAACCCAUACGCGUAAUGAAAGUGAACGGAGGUGAGAACCCUUAAGGGUGCAUCAUCGACCGGUCCUGAAGUCUUCGGAUGGAUCUGAGUAAGAGCAUAGCUGUUGGGACCCGAAAGAUGGUGAACUAUGCGUGAAUAGGGUGAAGCCAGAGGAAACUCUGGUGGAGGCUCGCAGCGGUUCUGACGUGCAAAUCGAUCGUCAAAUUUGCGCAUAGGGGCGAAAGACUUAUCGAACCAUUGAACACCUACUAGGUGGUUAAGAGGCCGCGCAGGCGGCCUAGUCCUCACGCGAGGGCGACAUUGUCAAAUUGUUCGGGGACCUCCUGAUAACUCUCAGACUACCGCAGCCCGCCCGAAAGGGGGGCGCGCACCGGGCUAACGACCCUGGGGAUGGUAACAACGUCUGGGUAGGGAAGAUCCGCAGCCAAGUCCUACCGCCCCCCGGGGCCACGGAUGCAGUUCACAGACUUGAAGGCAGUGGGCUCUGGCACACCAGAGCUUAAGAUAAAGUCGACCCCCCAGGAGACUGGGUGGGGGGAGGAGAGUGCGCGCACUCAGAGUCCCCCGGGGCUCUCGGAGCCUGAG